rnacentral:rRNA from 1 species
GAUGAACGCUGGCGGCGUGCCUAAUACAUGCAAGUCGAGCGAACGGACGAGAAGCUUGCUUCUCUGCUGUUAGCGGCGGACGGGUGAGUAACACGUGGAUAACCUACCUAUAAGACUGGGAUAACUUCGGGAAACCGGAGCUAAUACCGGAUAAUAUUUUGAACCGCAUGGUUCAAAAGUGAAAGACGGUCUUGCUGUUACUUAUAGAUGGAUCCGCGCUGCAUUAGCUAGUUGGUAAGGUAACGGCUUACCAAGGCAACGAUGCAUAGCCGACCUGCGAGGGUGAUCGGCCGCCCUGGAGCGGGACCGCGGUCCAGACGCCUGCGGGAGGCAGCAGAAGGGAAUCUUCCGCAAUGGUCGAAAGCCUGACGGAGCAACGCCACGUGAGUGAUGAAGGUCUUCGGAUCGUAAAACUCUGUUAUGAGGGAAGAACAGAUGUGUAAGUAACUGUGCACAUCUUGACGGUACCUAAUCAGAAAGCCACGGCUAACUACGUG